AACGAACGCUGGCGGCAUGCCUAACACAUGCAAGUCGAACGAGACCUUCGGGUCUAGUGGCGCACGGGUACGUAACGCGUGGGAACCUGCCCUUAGGUUCGGAAUAACUCCCCGAAAGGGGUGCUAAUACCGGAUAAUGUCUUCGGACCAAAGAUUUAUCGCCUUUGGAUGGGCCCGCGUUGGAUUAGCUAGUUGGUAGGGUAAAAGCCUACCAAGGCGAGGAUCCAUAGCUGGUCUGAGAGGAUGAUCAGCCACACUGGGACUGAGACACGGCCCAGACUCCUACGGGAGGCAGCAGUGGGGAAUAUUGGACAAUGGGCGAAAGCCUGAUCCAGCAAUGCCGGGUGAGUGAUGAAGGCCUUAGGGUUGUAAAGCUCUUUUACCCGGGAUGAUAAUGACGGUACCGGGAGAAUAAGCUCCGGCUAACUCCGUG
rnacentral:rRNA from 1 species